CAUUCAGCAUUGUAAUUUCUUAUGUCUUCCUUUUUUUGUUUUGUUGAUUUUGACAUUUUUGAUUCACAUUUGAUUAACACUAAAAAUAAUAUUUAGCAGAUUUCUUGGCAAUCGACGAUAGAUACGAUAAGAAACUGUAAAGGUAGAGAACUAGAAAAGCACUGUCGGCACUGCUGCGUUCUUCCGGCGCUUCGGAAAUGAUAGAGAAGUGAGUCUCCAUGGAGAAGUGUGUUAAUACCACCUUAGGUUAGGUUGGGAUCGGCCGCUGUUUCGCUGCAGCGCCAUUAUGGCGUUGUCGACGCCGCCGUGGUUCAUGCCUAAGGCCUAACAUUGCUAUGUGAUAUGAUAGCAGAGUGAAAAGAAAUAAAUCAUAUGCAUUAUAAAGAACGUCGCCAAAAUCGCCACGGCUCUAGUGGGAAAAUCGCCAGUGAAAUCGCAGUCGCCAAACUGGAAAAUCUUGUCGCCACCGAGAGCGCAAAAUCGCCAUUUUGGCGAAAAAUCGCCAGACCUGGUCACCCUGAUCGUAGUAGUCGUUAUAUGCACCGUCGUAUGGCUACUCUUGUGAUCAAGAGACUCGAACGAGAUCAUUUUGCUGCUUGCACGGCCUGGUUGUACUAGUUAAACACCUCUAUCGAGAGCGGAAAUAAGACUGAGUGUAGGUCCGACGCUCACUGUCCUAAUGCUCUCGAACCCCCACCCCUUUUACCGACCCCUUCCACUGGACCUAACAAAGCGAGCUGCACGAAGUUCGCGAAUAAUUUGUAUAAAUCGUAUCGGAAAAAAAUUAGAUAAUUGCGGAAUCGUUAUAAAAGUUUGUAAUCGCAAGUAAAAAAAUUGUCAGUUUAUUAGUUUAUUUAUAAAAAAUCAAAAACUUUUUACGCCGCGAGAAAGUAGAAAAAUGCGUUUUUCUUGUAAGAUAUUGAUCUGAGAACAUUGAAACCACUGCGAAUCGUUUGUAAAUUAAUUACCGAUUCUGUAAAUAUUGCCUUUAUUGCGUUAUUCGCUAUAGAUACUGAUUAAUAAAUUAAUUAUUUUUUCGUCAACUAUGCUACACCAAUUCGGGCGGUUCGUGUACCAUAUUCCGUUCGAUGAUUCGAAUCAGCUGUUCCUAUAUCGUUACGCACGUGUACUGCAGUGACUAUAUAAUAUACGACAACAACAAUAAGUCGGUUUGUGCAAGUGCAUCGCGGAUUCAGAAGUGUGUACAGUGCAGCGAUGGUCUCCUGGUGCAACGGCCUCUUCAGGGAGUAUUGGCUUUCAAUCUUAUUCUAACUUUAAUAAGUCCAGAAGUAGUGAAAGUGUAAAUUACUAGUAAUCUUCAAUAACACCAAUCAGUCUACAUGCCAUUAGAUCAUACUUGGAUAGAAGAGCUUACCGUUGUAGCUACUACUGUUAUAACUACAGGUAUGUCCUAUCGUACAAAACAUUUUGAACCUUCAAUGGCUAACUUAUAACAAAUAUUAGGUGCUUCAAAACAUUGUAAUCAGGGUGACCAGACCUGUCGUCACUUACUAUCAUUAUAUUACAAAAAAUAUUAAUUGAGAUUACAUAAUAAUUUCUUUGUUGAUUUUUGAAAUAUCUGAAAUCGUAAACAUCUCACCACAUUACUAAAUAAUCACAUAAAUAACAUUUGGCCAGGUCUGGUCACCUGGCUCAUUGAAAUAUCUUGUGCAACAUACUAAUUCAUUUAUUUUUCAUCGAACGAGCAAACUGUUCCUGCAUAAGUUCCUGCAUCACUGAUGUCUCACCGGUAUCCACUCUUAUUUGUGCUGCUGCGCGUAUUCACUGGAGUGAAGUCUUCAAUACUUAUUGAAUUACCUUUCGCCAAGAGUGUAUCAUGAAGGACAUUUUCAGAACAAUACAUAUAAUAUAACAAAGUGAUCAAAAUAUUAAAAUUAUUAAUUUUUCAGAUUCGAGGCCGUCAACUUUGAUGGUGUAAACAACAGUGCGACUGAUGCAGUGCAGGACAGCUGGAUAGCUGUUUCAUCUGUUUCAAGAGUGAAGACCGCUGUGUUACAAGUGAAAGUGCGAAAGUGUUCUUAGGGGGAUGAAAUAGACUUAGGGAUUAGAAUGUGAGGGAGUAGGAUUAGUUUAGAAUAGUGUUAUCAAAAUAGGAUACAGAGCGUAUUAUCAGAUGAAAAUUGAAACUCUAAGUUCAUUAAUUAGAAUACAUAAUGUUUUGUUUAAUAACUUUCGAAAAUGUCACUGAAUAUUUUGUUUCAAUUUUCAUCUGCUCAGACUUUGGCAGGAUAUAUGUUAUUUUGCGAGUAAACUUUAGAAAAGCUAAUCACAGAGGAUCUGUCAGGACUAGCUUAAAUAAAUCUGUGUUCUGCCAUAUUUUUAGGUCCAGAAGGUGAAAAUAGAAAAUUCAACUCAAGUAAUUAUGACCAUCUGGUCCUAAAAAUACAGCAGAAAGUAAAAAAAGAACUUGUAAACGCUUAGAGAUACUCCAUCUCAGCAAUUACAGUUGCAAAGAGAAAAACCGUGAGCAGGUGUUUAGGUGAUCAUAGGAACCGAAUAUAGAUAAACGAAAAUUGCCAUGAUAGCUAUAGUUUCCUAAUGAUUAACAUAACAUCUGUACAAGUUUUUAGACCUCUAGAUUAAAAACUACUUUAAUAGUAUUGUCAUUACGUUCAACAAGUUUUGUAUAUCCUUAAAAAAAGUAACUACCAUAGCAAUUUUUAUUUAUCAUUGUCAGUGACUUUUAUCGAGGUAUUUUACUUAAUUUUAAAGCGUGGAAAAGCAACAAUAAUUUUGAACAAUUAUAAAUAAUAUAAACUUAAAAAUACUUCAAUUUGUUAAUAUGCAAAUAAUUUAUAAUACUUGAAAGGAAAAAUUAUUGUUAAAUACUAAGGUAUAGCUUGAGUAACAAUGCUUUUCUAUACUUGAAAUUAUAC
rnacentral:lncRNA from 1 species